rnacentral:rRNA from 1 species
GACGGAGGAUGCAAGCGUUAUCCGGAAUGAUUGGGCGUAAAGCGUCCGCAGGUGGCAGUUCAAGUCUGCUGUCAAAGACCGGGGCUUAACUUCGGAAAGGCAGUGGAAACUGAACAGCUAGAGUACGGAAGAGGCGAGUGGAAUUCCUGGUGUAGCGGUGGAAUGCGCAGAUAUCAGGAGGAACACCAAUAGCGAAGGCAGCUCGCUGGGACGUACUGACACUGAGGCGCGAAAGCGUGGGGAGCGAACAGG